UAAACUAGUGGUUCAUUCCGCCGAGAGGGGAAAGAGGUUCCUGUAUCUGGCCGUGAGGACGCGCUCGGCUCGCUGUGGUGGAGGAGAACCGAGAGGUCCACGGUACACGCUCCGCAGACGCAGCGGCAACGUUACUCUUCCACAUAACGAAGCACAAUGGAUGAGGAGGAACAGUUUGUGAACAUUGAUCUGAAUGAUGACAAUAUCUGCAGUGUUUGCAAGCUAGAGACGGAAACAGGGACCAUGUCUUUCUGCCAUGUCUGCUUUGAACUCAGCAUAGAAGGCGUCUCCUCUGCUACCUUGUUGCACUCAAAGUCUUUGCGCGGCCACAGAGACUGCUUUGAAAAAUGCCACCUCAUCGCCAACCAGAAGCUGUCACGUUCCAAGGUCUCCCAAAGUGCCUACGAGGGCAUGAAGCUGGCCUUCAGCCAGAAAUUGAACCGCAUCAUCCAGUAUGCCCAGAACAAAGACUCUGUCUCCUCCACCGGCUCCAGCAGACGAGGGGCCAAGCUUCUUUGUUAUAGCCAGCAGAGUGACCGCAAGCUGCUGCACCAGUCGGAUGCCCAGGUGCCCCGCUACACGCCCUGCUGGGACAGGGGCAAGGCAACAGGGCUGCCUGAUUCCACCAUGGGGAUGUUGGAGUGCCAGACAGUGGAGGAGCUGGGGCGGCUGCAGGAGUCACAAUCCAACAGCUGGAAGGGUCUCCACAGCCAGAACCAAUUGUCAGGAGGAGGACAGAGACAGCACAGGCACCUGGGCCACAGCAGAGAGGAAUUGACUAAAAUGAGUGUGGACCAGCUCCAUCAGCUGAACUCCCAGCUACUGAUGCAGAUUCAAAAGGUCUUUGAGGAUCUAGCUGGGGCAGUGCAGGAAAAAGACUCGUUAGCGUCGGAGCUGCACGUGCGUCACAUCGCCAUCGAGCAGCUCUUUAAGAACUGUGCCAAGCUGCCCUGGCUGAACAUUAGCAGGGCCGGGGUCAAGGCCAGCAGCAGCAGCAGCAGCAGCGGAAGCGGCGGCGGCGGCAGCAGCAGCAGCGGCGGCCCUGUGGAGUGAGGUGGGGCUUCUGUUCUGUCUCUGCAGCUGUCCAGGAAACUAGACAAACACUUCAAAGAGCCUUUAUGUAUAUUGAGUGACUUCUCCGACACUGAAGUCGAGGUGUUUGCUUUAGAGCAGCAUUUAGGGCUGGCUUGACAUGGCCUCUGUUCUCAUGCUUGCAGUGAUGAUGCAAGGAUUAAUGGCUAUCUGCAGCACAAAACAUGUUAAGACCAGGUGGAAUGGGGCUCGGAGUAUCCUGGUCCCGGUACACGGUGAGGACAUGUUCACAUUGGGCACGAUCCCUAACUUUAAUAUAGACUUGUACAGCAAUGGUUGCAGCUUUUAUUGUAUUGUUUAGUUUGUGUUUAACAUUGCUGUUUCAAUUGUUUUCAUUUUGUGUAGAUACAUUUUAAAUUCUUUUCUUUUUUACCCUCCAUGUCAGAUGUGGAUAUUCAAAUAUGGGUUUUAGCACUCCUAAUACUCCUCUAUAUGUUAUCUGAUGGUUCUCUUUCAAAAGUGGUGAAGUAGAGGAUUUUAGAAAGUGGCUUGGGGCAGAAUACUUGAUGCAGAGAAGCAGGAUGAUGUCUGUCGUAUUUAUAGCACCAGCCACUGGCAGCACUAGUGUCUGACUACUGCUUUAGGUUACUGCUUUAAUGUAAAGCAUGAUCAAGGUUUUAGCUUUUUCUUGCAGCUGCACACUGGCAAUAUAAUGGUAUGAAACACAUGUUUUUGACUUGCCUUCAAACUGCCCUAAUAUGACUUGAUAGUUUAUGAAAACUGUGGUGAUCAGACCGAUUCAACAGUAACAAAGAAAAUGAAUACCCUAUAGUACCCUAUAGCAUCUCUGCAACAAAGACCAAUCAAAGUGUGAAUGUUAACAGGCAAUACUAGCUUUGCAGGUUUUUGUUUGUGUGGCUGAUAACUAUUUUGGAAGUUUCCCGAAACCAAUACUUUAACAGCUGGUUAGCAAGCAGCAAGUGGAAAUAUUAGUAAAUAUACAUGUGGCGUAAAGCGAUAGGUUUUUUAAUUUUUUUAUUUAGCGUUUGGAUUUCUAGUUACUAUUAUUGCUGGUGAGAUGUACUUGAUUUUUAACACAGCGCUGUCUGUUGUAUGUGUGAAGUGAUGUGUAUGGCCAUACACUGAAUGAGGGCUAUCGGAAUAAGAAAGGUUUAACUAUUGAAAUUAAAAAGAAUUCAGAUGCCAAACCAAAGUGGUUAUUUGUUCUGUAUCAUGUGUGAACUGUAAGCAUUUGAUAAUUUUCCAUCAGCAGAGGAAGAUGCAAUACCAAAGUGUGCGUGUGUACAUGUGUGUGCGUGCGUGCGUGUGUGUGCGUGUGUGUGUGUGUGUGUAAUGAACCAUCAAGUUUUUUUUCUCGGACGGAGUUGAUGUGGAUAUGAAUUGUUUUUUUAAGAACACACAGCGUAUGUUAUAUGCUUUUUCUUUUCUUUUUAAUGUGCAGUGUUAACUGUUGUCCUCUCUCCUGUAAUAAUGUGUGAGAGCUGAGGUGAUGUUACAGCAAUACCAACAGGAUAGGUAGGGUGACUGGGCCUCUGCAGGUCCCUGACUACUGUGGAUGGUAUUAACAGUCAGUGUGUUUAGCCUGCAGUUUGGGUUAUUUUGUUAUUCAGGAACCCUAUGCAAGAAAGAAACAAAUAAAUCCUAAGCCUUAUUAAAUAGGAAAUAUCUAAAACAAUAUUGGUUAUCUGAGUUUUCCUCAGAGGAGUCUGAGCUACUCAAGUAUAAUAAGCUGGAGAAAGACAAGGUUAUAUUCAGAUUAAUGUUGUCGUCAUCUUUUUUGCUCUUUGUAAGAGACUCAAUGAUUUCGACCCUUUUAGGGUUUCAAGUUAAAGGUUUUAGCUCCAUUUUAAGCUCAUGUCUUGAUUUUUUUGGUAUAACUGAAUGCUUUUGCUCGAGUGUAUUCAGAUUACUGGUCCUUAAUGCAAGUCACUCAAUCUUCAGUUGAAUGUUUUUUUUAUUUGUGUUUUAAUUAUGAAUGCUGUCGAAACAUGCCUGGGCCUGUGUCUCAUUAUCUUUUACUGGAGAUGGAAGCACACCUGUUACACGUCCCUUGGACUUGGCUCUUCGUUCAUUUGGUUUCUCAUGUUGAGCAAGGCUCAUUUGUGUUGUGUGAUGAUUCUAUUUAUUGUGUGUGUGUUCAUGGACCUUACAUAGGCUGUGGGAUCUGUGCUUAAGUGACAGUUUGUAUCUUUUUGUAAAAUAUUUCAAUAAAAUUAUUUUUACUA